rnacentral:rRNA from 1 species
AGGACGAACGCUGGCGGCGUGCCUAACACAUGCAAGUCGAACGCGCUCCAUUCGGUAGCAAUACUGAUGAAGAGCGAGUGGCGAACGGGUGAGUAGCACGUGAGCAACCUGCCCCGAAGACCGGGACAACACCGGGAAACCGGUGCUAAUACCGGAUAUCCCUAUCGGACCGCAUGAUCUGAUAAGGAAAUGGAUUCCGCUUCGGGAGGGGCUCGCGGCCUAUCAGCUAGUUGGUGAGGUAACGGCCCACCAAGGCAUCGACGGGUAGCUGGUCUGAGAGGACGAUCAGCCACACUGGGACUGAGACACGGCCCAGACUCCUACGGGAGGCAGCAGUGGGAAUCUUGCGCAAUGGGUGAAAGCCUGACGCAGCAACGCCGCGUGGAGGACGAAGGCUUUCUGAGUUGUAAACUCCUUUCAGCAGGGACGAUAGUGACGGUACCUGCAGAAGAGCACCGGCCAACUACGCGCCAGCAGCCGCGGUAAC